GACGAACGCUGGCGGCGUGCUUAACACAUGCAAGUCGAACGGAAAGGCCUUUGCCGGGGUACUCGAGUGGCGAACGGGGGAGUAACACGUGGGUGAGCUGCCCUGCACUCUGGGAUAAGCCUGGUAAACUGGGUCUAAUACCGGAUAGGACCGCACUUUAGCGGGUGUGGUGGACAGUUUUUUCGGUGUAGGUUGAGCCCGCGGCCUACUAGCUUGGUGGUGGGGUAUUGGCCUACCAAGGCGGCGACGGGUAGCCGGACUGGGACGUUGGGCGGCCACAGUGAGACUGAGAUACGGCCCAGACUCCGACGGGAGGGAGCGGUGGGGAAUAGUGAAAAAGGGGAGCAAGCGUGAUGCAGCGACGCCGCGUGGGGGAUGACGGUCUUCGGGUUGGAAACGCAAUUCGCCAGGGACGAGGCGUUUUGUGACGGUACCGGGAGAAGAAGCACCGGCUAACUACGUG
rnacentral:rRNA from 1 species